UUUUUUUUUUUUGAGAAACAUGCCCAUUCAACCGUAAGGCUAAAAUGGCCACGUUAGAAUACAAUAUAAAUUUAAAGCCAUGAAUACAAAGUCUACGUCCUUCAAAUUAAAUUAGUUAUCUGAUGUCAAACUUUUGACACAAAAUCAAUUACUUCUACUUCGCUAUUGCAAACUCAAGUUUAUUUCCAGAAGAUUCAUAAAGGUUUUUCAUCUAAAUUGCUCAAGUAAUCUUCUAAUGCGGUUGUAAUUAUAGCAACUCUUAAGAGGGGGUGACUAUCACAUUUUAUAUCUCCUUUGAAAUCCAAACCAAUAUCAUUAUUUAAGCUAGCUGUGAUUUAAACUAGUACAAGUUGCUCAAAACUAAUUAAAUUUCAUCUUAACAAUGAAACCUCCUACCUAUUAAAAACUUAAAUGACUGCCUCCAUAUCCAUCCAUACUCAUGCCCAUUCAUUAAGACCUUUUCGUGCCAAGUUAGAAGUUGAAAAUCUCGUGUAAAUAGAUGGCCAUCCCAAGGCAUUGUUACCACGUUAAAGCGUCUAAAUUGACAUCAAAAUAACCCCUAACAACCCACUGAGCAUAUAUCAUGAAACUUAAAGCUUCAUUGAGUUUGUUCCAUAGUCUAUAAGACUAUCACCAAAUAUAUCAAACGACGCAAAAACUACUGCUUUGAGUUCAUAUUCGCAACUAGCAAAACAAAAUAUCUAAUUUCAUUUGAAAACUCAAAGUUCAAACUAUGAACAUUUUACAAAUGCGCUACUUAAUAUGAACAAAAUCAAACAUACAAACACCAUUUUACUUGACAUUCAUAUACAGAAUCAACCAACGAACUCAAAUGAUCAAAGAAAUGCAAGAACUAAAUACAAUGUAAUUGAGCAACAAACAGAGUCUCUCCGUCAAGUUUUCUUCGGCCACGACUCAAUUACGAAACUCGAACUCAGUCAAAGGGAAACAAGAGACUAUUAAGUAAGUAACAAAAUAACUCUUUUACUCGAUGUUCUGGGGGUAUAAACUUCUGUAUUUUUGAAUGCUCAACCGGUAUUGUGGGGGAUCGAGACCUGGGAAUCUUCAAAACUGUCUUCUUCUUUCCUUUCCCCUUUUCAAGAGUAAAACUGUGGGUAUUUAUAGGAAAAUUCGAAUCUCAAAAUCUGGAAACGAGACCCAAAACUUCAUGGAAAUCCAAGGAAUAUAAUAAUAAAGGGAAUUUCAAAAUUCCAUAAAGUUGAAAAGGACAAUUCUUGUGUGAAUUUGGAGGACUCUCGAGCAUUAAUGGCAGAUUUGAAUUAUUUUUUUCGUUGUAUCACCGAUUUGGGACUUUUACUUCACUGAUUUGUUGGAGUCAUGGGUUGGGGAUGGCUGAAAUAGGGAAUCUUUGCAGGGGUGACAGGUGGUGACGUGGCUAGGGUGAUGGUAUUUUCUGAUUUGGGUAAUGGAGAGAAGACGCGGAGAGGAAAAAAUGAGAGAGGUGGGGUUGUCGUUAAAAACUUGAAAGUUUUGGAAAGAGAAAGAGCGGUAUAUUAGUUUUAGGUCUUGUUGACGUAAUCUGAUCCAUCCGAUCGUUUGAUCCGAUGAUUUAAAGUAAAUCUCUAUAAUAAAAGAGUAAAUUCACGGCCCUUGGAUCAAAAGAAUUUAAACGGUCAAGAUGAAUUUGUGAUUUUUUUACAAGGAUUGUGUUUGUUCGUUGAUGUGGCGGCAUGUUAUUGGUCGAUGAGAUGUGAAGUGGAUUGAUGAGGUGGAU
rnacentral:lncRNA from 1 species